rnacentral:rRNA from 1 species
AGAUUAAGUUAUUAAGGGCGCACGGUGGAUGCCUUGGCACUAGAAGCCGAUGAAGGACGUUACUAACGACGAUAUGCUUUGGGGAGCUGUAAGUAAGCUUUGAUCCAGAGAUUUCCGAAUGGGGAAACCCAGCAUGAGUUAUGUCAUGUUAUCGAUAUGUGAAUACAUAGCAUAUCAGAAGGCACACCCGGAGAACUGAAACAUCUUAGUACCCGGAGGAAGAGAAAGAAAAUUCGAUUCCCUUAGUAGCGGCGAGCGAAACGGGAAGAGCCCAAACCAACAAGCUUGCUUGUUGGGGUUGUAGGACACUCUGUACGGAGUUACAAAGGACGACAUUAGACGAAUCAUCUGGAAAGAUGAAUCAAAGAAGGUAAUAAUCCUGUAGUCGAAAAUGUUGUCUCUCUUGAGUGGAUCCUGAGUACGACGGAGCACGUGAAAUUCCGUCGGAAUCUGGGAGGACCAUCUCCUAAGGCUAAAUACUCUCUAGUGACCGAUAGUGAACCAGUACCGUGAGGGAAAGGUGAAAAGCACCCCGGAAGGGGAGUGAAAUAGAACCUGAAACCGUGUGCUUACAAGUAGUCAGAGCCCGUUAAUGGGUGAUGGCGUGCCUUUUGUAGAAUGAACCGGCGAGUUACGAUUUGAUGCAAGGUUAAGCAGUAAAUGUGGAGCCGUAGCGAAAGCGAGUCUGAAUAGGGCGUUUAGUAUUUGGUCGUAGACCCGAAACCAGGUGAUCUACCCUUGGUCAGGUUGAAGUUCAGGUAACACUGAAUGGAGGACCGAACCGACUUACGUUGAAAAGUGAGCGGAUGAACUGAGGGUAGCGGAGAAAUUCCAAUCGAACCUGGAGAUAGCUGGUUCUCUCCGAAAUAGCUUUAGGGCUAGCCUCAAGUGAUGAUUAUUGGAGGUAGAGCACUGUUUGGACGAGGGGCCCCUCUCGGGUUACCGAAUUCAGACAAACUCCGAAUGCCAAUUAAUUUAACUUGGGAGUCAGAACAUGGGUGAUAAGGUCCGUGUUCGAAAGGGAAACAGCCCAGACCACCAGCUAAGGUCCCAAAAUAUAUGUUAAGUGGAAAAGGAUGUGGCGUUGCCCAGACAACUAGGAUGUUGGCUUAGAAGCAGCCAUCAUUUAAAGAGUGCGUAAUAGCUCACUAGUCGAGUGACACUGCGCCGAAAAUGUACCGGGGCUAAACAUAUUACCGAAGCUGUGGAUUGUCCUUUGGACAAUGGUAGGAGAGCGUUCUAAGGGCGUUGAAGCAUGAUCGUAAGGACAUGUGGAGCGCUUAGAAGUGAGAAUGCCGGUGUGAGUAGCGAAAGACGGGUGAGAAUCCCGUCCACCGAUUGACUAAGGUUUCCAGAGGAAGGCUCGUCCGCUCUGGGUUAGUCGGGUCCUAAGCUGAGGCCGACAGGCGUAGGCGAUGGAUAACAGGUUGAUAUUCCUGUACCACCUAUAAUCGUUUUAAUCGAUGGGGGGACGCAGUAGGAUAGGCGAAGCGUGCGAUUGGAUUGCACGUCUAAGCAGUAAGGCUGAGUAUUAGGCAAAUCCGGUACUCGUUAAGGCUGAGCUGUGAUGGGGAGAAGACAUUGUGUCUUCGAGUCGUUGAUUUCACACUGCCGAGAAAAGCCUCUAGAUAGAAAAUAGGUGCCCGUACCGCAAACCGACACAGGUAGUCAAGAUGAGAAUUCUAAGGUGAGCGAGCGAACUCUCGUUAAGGAACUCGGCAAAAUGACCCCGUAACUUCGGGAGAAGGGGUGCUCUUUAGGGUUAACGCCCAGAAGAGCCGCAGUGAAUAGGCCCAAGCGACUGUUUAUCAAAAACACAGGUCUCUGCUAAACCGUAAGGUGAUGUAUAGGGGCUGACGCCUGCCCGGUGCUGGAAGGUUAAGAGGAGUGGUUAGCUUCUGCGAAGCUACGAAUCGAAGCCCCAGUAAACGGCGGCCGUAACUAUAACGGUCCUAAGGUAGCGAAAUUCCUUGUCGGGUAAGUUCCGACCCGCACGAAAGGCGUAACGAUUUGGGCACUGUCUCAACGAGAGACUCGGUGAAAUCAUAGUACCUGUGAAGAUGCAGGUUACCCGCGACAGGACGGAAAGACCCCGUGGAGCUUUACUGUAGCCUGAUAUUGAAAUUCGGCACAGCUUGUACAGGAUAGGUAGGAGCCUUUGAAACGUGAGCGCUAGCUUACGUGGAGGCGCUGGUGGGAUACUACCCUAGCUGUGUUGGCUUUCUAACCCGCACCACUUAUCGUGGUGGGAGACAGUGUCAGGCGGGCAGUUUGACUGGGGCGGUCGCCUCCUAAAAGGUAACGGAGGCGCUCAAAGGUUCCCUCAGAAUGGUUGGAAAUCAUUCAUAGAGUGUAAAGGCAUAAGGGAGCUUGACUGCGAGACCUACAAGUCGAGCAGGGUCGAAAGACGGACUUAGUGAUCCGGUGGUUCCGCAUGGAAGGGCCAUCGCUCAACGGAUAAAAGCUACCCCGGGGAUAACAGGCUUAUCUCCCCCAAGAGUUCACAUCGACGGGGAGGUUUGGCACCUCGAUGUCGGCUCAUCGCAUCCUGGGGCUGUAGUCGGUCCCAAGGGUUGGGCUGUUCGCCCAUUAAAGCGGUACGCGAGCUGGGUUCAGAACGUCGUGAGACAGUUCGGUCCCUAUCCGUCGUGGGCGUAGGAAAUUUGAGAGGAGCUGUCCUUAGUACGAGAGGACCGGGAUGGACAUACCUCUGGUGUACCAGUUGUCGUGCCAACGGCAUAGCUGGGUAGCUAUGUGUGGACGGGAUAAGUGCUGAAAGCAUCUAAGCAUGAAGCCCCCCUCAAGAUGAGAUUUCCCAACUUCGGUUAUAAGAUCCCUCAAAGAUGAUGAGGUUAAUAGGUUCGAGGUGGAAGCAUGGUGACAUGUGGAGCUGACGAAUAC